rnacentral:rRNA from 1 species
UGAGAGGAAGGUCCCCCACACUGGUACUGAGACACGGACCAGACUCCUACGGGAGGCAGCAGUGAGGAAUAUUGGUCAAUGGGAGAGAUCCUGAACCAGCCAAGCCGCGUGAGGGAAGACGGCCCUAUGGGUUGUAAACCUCUUUUGUCGGAGAACAAAACCCGGGACGUGUCCCGGACUGCGUGUAUCCGAAGAAAAAGCAUCGGCUAACUCCGUGCCAGCAGCCGCGGUAAUACGGAGGAUGCGAGCGUUAUCCGGAUUUAUUGGGUUUAAAGGGUGCGUAGGCGGUCUGUUAAGUCAGCGGUAAAAUUGCGGGGCUCAACCCCGUCGAGCCGUUGAAACUGGCAGACUUGAGUUGGCGAGAAGUACGCGGAAUGCGCGGUGUAGCGGUGAAAUGCAUAGAUAUCGCGCAGAACUCCGAUUGCGAAGGCAGCGUACCGGCGCCAGACUGACGCUGAGGCACGAAAGCGUGGGGAUCGAACAGGAUUAGAUACCCUGGUAGUCCACGCAGUAAACGAUGAAUGCUGGUUGUCCGGGUCGAAUGAG